rnacentral:rRNA from 1 species
UCCGUGCCAGCAGCCGCGGUCAUACGGAGGGUCCAAGCGUUAUCCGGAAUUACUGGGCGUAAAGAGUUGCGUAGGUGGCAAUGUAAGCAAAUAGUGAAAGCGUGCGGCUCAACCGCAUACACAUUAUUUGAACUACAUAGCUUGAGCAUGAGAGAGGUAGCUGGAAUUCCUAGUGUAGGAGUGAAAUCCGUAGAUAUUAGGAGGAACACCGAUGGCGUAGGCAGGCUACUGGCUUAUUGCUGACACUAAGGCACGAAAGCGUGGGGAGCGAACGGGAUUAGAUACCCCGGUAGUCCACGCCGUAAACUAUGGAUGCUAGCUGUUAUCAGUAUCGACCCUGGUAGUAGCGAAGCUAACGCGUUAAGCAUCCCGCCUGUGGAGUACGGCCGCAAGGCUAAAACAUAAAGGAAUUGACGGGGACCCGCACAAGCGGUGGAGCGUGUUGUUUAAUUCGACGGUAAGCGAAGAACCUUACCAGGGUUUGACAUCCUGCCAAUCUUUCCGAAAGGAGAGAGUGCCUUCGGGCCGCAGAGACAGGUGUUGCAUGGCCGUCGUCAGCUCGUGUCGUGAGAUGUUUGGUUAAGUCCAUCAACGAGCGCAACCCUUAUAGUUAGUUGAAUUUCUCUAGCUAGACUGCCCCGGUAACGGGGAGGAAGGAGGGGACGAUGUCAGGUCAGUAUUACCCUUACACCCUGGGCUACAAACACGCUACAAUGGCCGGUACAGAGCGCAGCCAACCCGCGAGGGGGAGCAAAUCGCAUCAAAGCCGGUCUCAGUUCGGAUAGCAGGCUGAAACUCGCCUGCUUGAAGCUGGAAUCGCUAGUAACGGUAGGUCAGCACACUACCGUGAAUACGUUCCCGGGUCUUGUACACACCGCCCG